rnacentral:piRNA from 1 species
UGGAGAGUUUUCAAUUAAUUU